CUAACUACUUCUUUUUCCUCCUCUCAACUAAUUCUAUCCCUAAUCGUCAUUGACAAGUGAUGAUUGGAGCUUUCAUGAUGAGAAUAAAUUUUUUGACGACGGUUAACAAAGUGUUGCAAUAGGUGAUCUAUUACAACACUUUCAAAUGUUGUUAAAUAAUUAUUCUAUUAGCUAUAAUUUAACACUAUAACCAUCAUUUUUGACAUUAAGCAUUGCAAUAAAUAAAUAAAAUAACCUGUAACAAUGCUUAUUUUAUUCCCUCCAUGAUAAAAAAUUUAUCAAGUCCGCCAAAAGUAAAACACUUUAAUAAAACACUUUCUCUAAAUCUUUAAGCUUAAACGACUCAUACAUCACUAAAUCCUAAAUCCUAAAUCGCUAAAGGUUCUGUGGACUUUCAAUCGAUGACCUUCGAGGAUUGCCCUAAUCGCUAAAGGUUCUGUAGAAGGAGAUCUGCGUAACUCUGUGGGAGAUCGGCCGGCGACGAAUUUUGGGGAUUUUGAUUGGUGAAUCUAUGUAUGUAUUUCUGUGCAAAUCUAGGCAUCUAGUUACAAUUUUCCGUCUACGGUUGAUGUCGGUUUUUCAAUACAGUGGUUGGAUCCAAGAUUCUUCUGUCAAGGCCCAAUCCUCAUCCUUUUUAUAUCUUUCUUUUAGUGAACUUUUCGGCAGGAGUUUUGUACUUUGUAUGCUGAUUUUUCUGUAAAUCUGUGGGAUUUUUGGGGAUUUUUCUGUAGCUGUAACUAAAGUGUUCUUCCAAGGAAUUUCUGGUUCAUUAUCAGUAAGUUCUCAUACAAUUUUGACCUAAUUUAGGGGAUUCAUUUUUGUUGAAUGUUUGAUUUUAGUGAUAAAGUUGAGUUUGGGUUUAAUUUGUGGGCCUGUUAAUUUGCUGCUGUUUUGUUGCUCUGUCAUCGGUAUGUGAUUUUAGUGCUAAAGUUGCUUCUAGGGGUAGUGCUGCAACUUUUGUAAUGCAUUCUUCCAGGUCUUGAUCUUACUGCCCCUGAUUUGUAUGUGUUGAGCCACUUCCUUGCAUAGUCUGUCUGGGGAUUAGUUGCAUUCGACGAAGAUUGAGCAGUGACGGAGGUAGCAUAGAGUUGUUUCUCUGCAAUUCUAUCGUUGGGUGUAGUCAUCCUCUCUGAUGGGUUAAGAUUUCCCUCUUUACGUGCCGGAGGCGGGACUCCCGGCAGCUCCAUCAGGUUGAGAGUUAAAGGGACGUGCUCUGUUAGCUGUUAAAAUGGUGUCAUUGUUUAGAGAAAAGAUUUAAGAGAGAAACUUUAAACUUAUAUCUACCUCUUGCCCAAACUGAGUUCUUCCAGCCUUGUGAGUUGCCUGAGAUCCACUUUUUUUAGGCAGUGUGUUUAUUUGCACAAUACUUAUUCUUCAUGAAAUCAGCCCAAAGAGAAUAAGUAGUUCUCAAUCUCCACCACCUUUUAAUAGCUAAGGUGUUAGAGAUAUCAACCAAAACUUCUAGUACCUAUACCACCUUCACUUUUAGGGCAACACAAGUUGGUAUAUGAGCUCCAGUGGUACUUUUAGGGGCAACACAAGUUGAUCUUAGAUCUUUAUUUCCGCUACUUUCAGCUUCUGAACGUGAGUUCUUGACUGGACAAAUUCUAUCAACGAAUAUCAGCCCAAAUGGCAUUUCCAUUUUCCAAGGCCUUAUAGAGAGGGUGAGAAGGACAGUUCGUGGGUCAGCUGAUGAUAUCGGAUGGCUACGACGUGCUUCUCAUAUGCCUCCUGCUGAAGAUCAAACUGAUAGAUUUGUUGAGAUCCUUGAUGAUAUUAGGCAUGGACUACAUGGAUUGCCAAAUUCAGUGGUUUACUUGUUAGUUCCAGGUCUCUUUAGCAAUCAUGGACCACUUUACUUUGUCAAUACAAAAACAAGCUUUUCAAAAACGGGACUUGCUUGUCACAUAGCCAAAAUUCAUAGCGAGGCCUCUGUGGAGAAGAACGCAAGAGAAAUUAAAGAUUACAUUGAAGAAAUGUAUUGGGGCUCCAGGAAACGUGUCUUGCUUCUUGGACACAGUAAAGGCGGAGUAGAUGCAACAGCUGCUCUGUCCAUAUAUUGGACUGAUCUGAAAGACAAGGUAGCAGGGCUGGUUUUAGCACAGAGCUCCAUUUGCGGGAACUGCUGAUUUGACCUUUGUGAUGAUAAAAGGAGAAAUUGUGUCUCUAUGGGCUUCCUAAUGAAACAUGGGAAGUAGACCUCCCGGUGAAGGAGGUGCCUCCAGAACUUCCAGAGCCAGCAUUGGGCAUAAAUUUUGCACGUGAUGGAAUGCAAGAAAAAGACUGGUUAUCACUUGUUGCUAUUCACAGUGAUUCAUGGCUGCUUUCUGUUGCAUUCUACUUUGGUGCACGGUUUGGGUUCAUCAAGAGUGACAAGUUGUGCUGGUAACUCACUUCUUGCACUAAAUGAUGUUACUGCAAUGGAGUUGCCUGAUAUUGUUGCUGAGGCUGCAAAGCACUGUGAUAUUCUUCGAGGAGCAGCUGAAGCAAGAGGCUUGCUUGUUGAUGCUAUGAGUAAUAUCCAAGAUGGUUACAAGGAAGAUACACCUUCCGUUCCUCUCAUGGUUGUGGAAAAUAGAUGUGGUAGUCCAUGCAUAGACUUGAGGCAAGCGAGCUUAGAGUUAGCUGCUGCAGCCAAAGAUGCAGAUCUGGUUUGGUAAUUUUGGAAGGGAUGGGCCGGUCUUUGCAUACCAAUUAUAAUGUAAAAGUUCAAAUGUGAUGCUCUAAAGGUACGGAUCAUAGCAGUCACUUAAAACAUUUUGGGCCAUAGAAGCAUGCUCAUUGCAUAUUACUAGUUCUUUUUUUCCAGAAAAACUCUGAGAAAGGUUCUUUAUAAAGAAGUAUUUCCAGUUUCCUAUGUGCAGCCCUUGUAGAGUUUAAGAUCUGUGAUCUUUGAUUUUACCAACAUAUUUAUGGCAAUUUGUUAUAGCCUGUGUGCUGAAUCUGAAUAUAGAUGUUUGACUUAUUGAACUUCGAGGUUAUAGUGAGCAUGUCGUCACCUUUUUUGUUUCUUGAAGUUGAAACUUGAAACAUGAAAAGUUGAGUUUUUGCAGUUGUGUUUGGACAUGCAUUUUACUUGAAAAAGAUUUGAAGUUUUGUUAGUGGGAGUCUCAAAAGCCCAAAAACUGGCCUGAACCCGGUUAUUGAGAACUUCAAAAUAUUUAAAGUUUCAAAAUCUGAUCAAAUUUCAUGGCCAACUAGAUAUUUGAAGAUAAAUUUUGAAAGUUGACUCCCAAAAUAUAUGGCUAAAAACUAACUAAAUUGACUAGCUCAGCAAAGAUAUCUUAGAUAGGAUUUGAAAUGUUUAAUACUUGCACUCAGGUGUUGACUACUAGAUAUUCCUCUCCCAUCCUUACCGACACAUCACCUUGACUGGUUGUGUUUUAAGUUCAAGUUUUCAGUCACUUAUUUGCAUUUAUUUUUGUUAUUAGAGAUGUUUCCACAGAGGAAGAGAGUCGGAUAAGUCAAGUGUGUCUGUUGAAUAACAUUCAGCAUACUGAAAAAAAGCUCAAACAUCUAUAUUUCAAUCUAUGGUUCUGCUUUAUCCUCAAAGCAUCUUUGAUCUCUGAUUUCUUGUCUAUCCAAAGGACUAAAAUUGUAGGCAUCACUAUUGUCAUCCAAAUCCUUUCCAACUUCCUUCCAAACGACCAAAAAGGCCAGGCUGGUGUAGUUACCCAAACCUUUUUAUCUUCCAUUCACCCAAACUAAAAAGGCAUUAGCUCAAUUUCAUUUGUUCUUUAAGUUUUACCAUCUCACAUUUGGAUGUUUGUAUUCCUCUCUAACCAUGAUUGGUUGAUUUGCCUCUUCACUAGCUAACUUAUAUGUAAUUUAUGUACUUAUUUUCUCGUGUACUCCUAUACUAUUAUUGUUGUGUUAUUGUUUGUUGUAACCAAUAAGAAAUUAAAUGAUAUCAACUAGCAUGAAACUGACUAGUUUUUGACCCUAAAGCUCUUUCCAAAAUCAAUAUCAACCAUAUAUUUGUCCAGAUGGUUGAGUUAUAGUUUAGGGUAAAAUUCACAAGUAGCAUACUUAAGAGCCUAAUUACUAGUUCUAUAGCAACAGUUUCAUAAUUACAUUUUAUAGCAACUUUUAUUUUGUAUUUUUAAAAAAUGUUGCUGUAAAAAUACAUCUACAAAAAAAAUUGCUGCACUUAAUUAACUGAAAUUAGUUGAGCUAUAUAUGGUAUAAUUACCAAUCAAGUAAAUAUGUUGAUUCCUUUUCCAUUUAAAAUACUUAAAAAACGUGACAUCCGUUGUAAUCAAAUAAUUCAAAUUUCAAUUUCACCAUUAACAGCUGCAUAUUUUUUUUUUCAAUUUCUUCUAAACCAACCCUGUAUUGCUUAAUCAAAUUGAACUGAUUCUUAUGCGAAAUUAACAGCAAUUGCAAAAUGAAUCAGUUAUUCGAUUGAAUCAAAUUCAAUUGUUGAUUCAUCUUUUAUAUUUGUUUGAAUUCAACUGUCAGUUGAAAAUUCAACCAUUACUGCUGUUCAAGGCACAUAACCAUUAUUGCUAUUCAGUUCACUUUUUUUUUACCAUUACUGAUGUGCUGCUUAUCAAGUUUUGGUUGUCGUGGUUAAUUUGUAUGUGAAAAAAUUGUAAAACAAAUUAUAGUUAUAAUCGAGACAGCAGUAAAAUUGGAAUUAUUCAAGUAUCUGUUGCAAAUUUCAUCUUUAAAGUUGUUUCAAUAGGAAAAAAAUCAGUAUUCGACUCUAUUUUUGACGAUCGUUUGUUGUUAUAUUGAUUGUUUUAACAAUAGAACAAUUGUAAACAACUUUCGAAUUGAAAUACAUUCAAUUUUUUUUUUUGAAAUACUAGAUAAUUGAUUGAACGAAUGUUUCUAUUGAAGUUGACGCUAUUCUAUGAACCCAGAUAAAAGUAUAAAAUAUCUUCGUCCAUAUGUAUUUUUGAUGUGUUUAAUGAUAACACUGCAUAUGUAUUUUUGAUAUUGUUAAUGGUAAUGGUGCAUAUGUAUUUUUUGUUUCGUUGUAGGAAUUUUGAUAUAUAAAUGUAUAUUUGCAAAAAUAUUUUAGUUUAAGGUAAUCUUGUGUCUAUGUAUUUUUUUAUUUGAGAUGUUGGUUGUAUAUCUUUGUUUGCACGUAAAUCUGAAAAGUGCGUGUUAUAAGAAGGGAUAUUUGACAAAUUGGUAUGUAACAUAUCAAAUUACAAAUUAGUUAUGCUCCAGAUGUAUUUUUUUGAUAUGCUUAGUUUUAACACUACAUAUGUAUUUUAUAUGCGAUAUAUGUAAACACUGCAUAUGUAUUUUUGUUUUGUUUGUGGGAAUUUGAGAGUAUAAGUGUAUAUGUGAUAAUAUGUUUGGUGUCUGUUUUACUUCUGUUUGAUCAAAUAGUUUGUGUAUUUUGUAUUUUAGAAAUGGGAAGCAUACCAGUCCUUGUGAAGCACUCUGGUCGAUGGACGUACGAAAA